UGGGGGAUAUUGCACAAUGGGGGGAACCCUGAUGCAGCGACGCCGCGUGGGUGAAGGAGUACUUCGGUACGUAAAGCCCUAUCAGCAGGGAAGAAAAAAGCGAAGCGAUUCGCUUGGACGGUACCUGACUAAGAAGCCCCGGCUAACUACGUGCCAGCAGCCGCGGUAAUACGUAGGGGGCAAGCGUUAUCCGGAUUCACUGGGUGUAAAGGGAGCGUAGACGGCAGGGCAAGUCUGGAGUGAAAGCCCGGGGCCCAACCCCGGGACUGCUCUGGAAACUGUACUGCUAGAGUGCGGGAGGGGCAGGCGGAAUUCCUAGUGUAGCGGUGAAAUGCGUAGAUAUUAGGAGGAACACCGGCGGCGAAGGCGGCCUGCUGGACCGUAACUGACGUUGAGGCUCGAAAGCGUGGGGAGCAAACAGG
rnacentral:rRNA from 1 species